UUUUUCCUAGAGGUGGAUCUGGGAUUGCUAAUGAAAACAGAGAAAUCAGACUUAGCGCCGACUCCAGUGCCCGCCCCUACAUCUGGAGUAAGAGAAAAGGCCCCCAGCUCCUCCAUAAACGACUCGAAAACCGGCGGUUGUUUAUAAACUUGUGGAUCCGGUAGUUGAGCUCUGCAGCUCGGAGGCCUCCGCGCCGGCUAGGGUAGCGCUAACCUUUGUAGCUUCUCUGCAGGGGCUGGGACUCCCCCAUCGUAUCCUUUCCUCUCUGGUUCACUGUCUCCUCCGGCCCAGGAAGUGCCGGGUCGGUGUGGAACCAGGUAUCCUCUCUGAAUUUCUCUUUCCACUUUUCUUGCCCUCGCCUUCCCUCUGUCCAGAACGAAAUCUUGAAAAGCACAGUGAGCAGCAACGACAAGAAAACCAAAGGCCGGACGGGCUGGCCGCAGCACGUCUGGGCCCUGGAGCUCAAGCAGUGAGGAGGAGGAGGCGAAGGAGGAGGAGGAAGAGAGCGCGAGUGAGCCGGGGCCAAGGCGCCAGAUGCAGACCCAGGACUCCGGAAAAGCCGUCCGCGCUCGGCUCUGAGGACUCCUUGCAUUUGGAAUCAUCCGGUUUAUUUAUGUGCAAUUUCCUUCCCCUCUCUUUGACCCCCUUUGAGGCAUCCGCUCCCCGUCUCCCCCUCCAAAAAAAAAAAUGGAUAUUUGAAGAAAAGCAUUCCAUAUUUUAAUAUGAAGAGGACACUCCCGUGUGGUAAGGGAUCCCGUCGUCUCGUAGAUUCUGUGUGCGUGAAUGUUCCCUCUUGGCUGUGUAGACACCAGCGUUGCCCCCCGCCAACCUAUCCAACCCCUUCCAGAUAAAGACAGUGGGCACUAGUGCGUUUGUGAAGUGUAUCUUUAAUACUUGGCCUUUGGAUAUAAAUAUUCCUGGGGAUUAUAAAGUUUUAUUUCAAAGCGGAAAACAGGGCCGCUAACAUUUCCGUUGGGGUCGGUAUCUAGUGCUGUCCGUUCAUCUGUGGUCGUUCCCUCUUUGAAGAUGUUUCCAACAGCCACUUGUUUUGUGCACUUCCGUCCUCUAAAACUAAAUGGAAUUUAAUUAAUAUUGAAGGUGUAAACGUUGUAAGUAUUCAAUAAACCACUGUGUUGUUUUUUUUUUUUUUUUUUUACAGGAACCCUAAUCUUUUAAUGGUUGAUACCUCAAAAGAGUUUUGAAAACAAAGCUGUUAUACUUGUUUUCAUAAUAUUUAAAAUAUUCAGAAGUAAACUAAAUUAUCAUGAUUGCCUCUAACUUUAUUUUAAAGACUCAGUGGUUCCAACCAGUCAACCUGACCUGCGGUCUACGCAGGAGGAGGAGGUGCUCUUGAAGAGAAGUGUCCUUGUUACAAACCCUACAAAGGGUCUGGGCUCUGUCGGUGUGGUGUCUUUUUCCCUCUUCCGCCAGCUGGAGAACGCUGAGUAUUCUCUAGAAGGAAGAUCUGGGCUGGAGAACCCAGCCCGGCAGUUCGCUCAGAAGCUGUAAAGGUGCUCUUGCGUUCCUGAAAUCAAUCAGAAGCCGUUUCUUGAGGCCGUCAGUUUUUGUUUGGAGAGUGUGUUUCUGGUGGAGGAGUUGUGAGAACCCCGGCAUUAUUGCCUCAACGGGAACUAGUCUGGGUGUUUAAUUCAAACUAUGGGGCUUUCAUCCAAGAAAAAAAAAAAAA
rnacentral:lncRNA from 1 species